rnacentral:rRNA from 1 species
UAGGGAAUCUUCCACAAUGGACGCAAGUCUGAUGGAGCAACGCCGCGUGAGUGAAGAAGGUCUUCGGAUCGUAAAACUCUGUUGUUAGAGAAGAACACGAGUGAGAGUAACUGUUCAUUCGAUGACGGUAUCUAACCAGCAAGUCACGGCUAACUACGUGCCAGCAGCCGCGGUAAUACGUAGGUGGCAAGCGUUGUCCGGAUUUAUUGGGCGUAAAGGGAACGCAGGCGGUCUUUUAAGUCUGAUGUGAAAGCCUUCGGCUUAACCGGAGUAGUGCAUUGGAAACUGGAAGACUUGAGUGCAGAAGAGGAGAGUGGAACUCCAUGUGUAGCGGUGAAAUGCGUAGAUAUAUGGAAGAACACCAGUGGCGAAAGCGGCUCUCUGGUCUGUAACUGACUCACAANGAGGUAAGANAGCGUGUGUCACAAACGGAANNAAAUACCCUGGUAGUCCACGCCGUAAACGAUGAAUGCUAGGUGUUGGAGGGUUUCCGCCCUUUCAGUGCCGCANCUAACGCAAUAAGCAUUCCGCCUGGGGAGUACGACCGCAGGU